GCCGAUGAACGAAAUCAUGGCAGAGCGCGCCCGAUCUCGUCAGAUCUCGGAAGCUAAGCGGGGUUGAGCCUGGAUUGCGCGUGGAUGGGUGAUCACCAUUCAUGACAGGUGCUAUCGGCU
rnacentral:rRNA from 1 species